GGGGUCGACUGGUUUUGACAGCAGGACGCAUGAAAAGGUAAGCAAGUCGAGCGCUGAAUUACAGCUCGNUAAUCUCAUUUUUCACAUUUUUAAAUGGCGAAAAUAACUACGCUCUAGCUGCAUAAUUAACCGAAUUAUAGUAAGUUAAUGCCAAGUUCCGACCAGGUCGGAAAGCAAGAUGUCUCUGGAUAGCCCUUGUUGACGGCGAUCUAUAUUGAGGCACCAUAAAUGUCAACAUCGGAAUACAAGUGCAUCGUUUGUAUUUUUCAAUUAAGAUGAUAAGGUUUAUGUAGACUGUUUUCGGUCAGCAUAUNUUCGAAAAUUAAUCGAAAACUAAACUUGUAGAAAGCUUUUUAAUCGCUUGUUUGGACGCGGGUUCGAUUCCCGCCGACUCCACUU
rnacentral:tmRNA from 1 species